rnacentral:rRNA from 1 species
UACGGAGGGUGCAAGCGUUGUCCGGAUUUAUUGGGUUUAAAGGGUGCGUAGGCGGCUCUUUAAGUCAGUGGUGAAAGCCUCCAGCUUAACUGGAGAACUGCCAUUGAUACUGAAGAGCUUGAGUAUAGUUGAGGUAGGCGGAAUUGACAGUGUAGCGGUGAAAUGCUUAGAUAUUGUCAAGAACACCGAUUGCGAAGGCAGCUUACUAAACUAUAACUGACGCUGAGGCACGAAAGCGUGGGGAUCAAACAGG